GAUCGCUCACGUUUCCCCUAACCCUAUAUCGUGCACCAUCAUGCUCCAUCGUUCACGCCUCCGAUCCCUGUAUUUUUGUUGUAAUUCGAUCUGGAAAUUGUGGUUGUUCUGUUCAUUGUUUUAGAUCUUCUCGAGUCAAAGAUGGGGCCUAUGGAUAUUGUUGGUAAGACCAAAGAGGAUGCUUCGUUACCGAAAGAUUCAUUUGCAGUGUUUUUAUUUUUUUAAAAGUUCGGUGCCCCAGUUCGGCGGCUAGGGUUUAGUCAGAGUUUUCCCAACGAUUGAGUCAAAUCAACCACAUACAUUUGUUGUUGUUACCCUCGAUCCACCUAUCCGUAAGGGUCAAACUAUGUAUCCACAUAUAGUGUUGAGUUUGAAACAGAUUAUGUGGUGGAAAGCACGUUGACAAUGAAUGAAGAUCUUUUCGCUACCAAAUACAAGGACAAGCUAGAACCAACUUAUAAGGGACUGAUUUAUGAAGUGUUUACAAUGGUAUUGAGAGGCUUAUCAGGCACAAAACUCACAAGUCCCGGAAAAUUCCAUAGCUGUCAAGACGGUUACGCUGUGAAGUCAUCGUUAAAAGCCGAAGAUGGCGUUCUUUAUCCGCUUGAAAAGAGCUUUUUCUUCUUACCAAAACCACCUACUCUUAUUCUAUACGAUGAGUGACUUUGGUCUUCAUGAUAGAUGGCAAAAUAUUCUAAGUGCAAGCUGGAAUUCAGCAAGUGUCAAAGGAAGGAUAUAGGGUAUGUUUGGCAAAAGUAUUUGGUCGCAAAAGAAGAGUUCGGUGAUGAAGAGGUGAACUGUGAAUCUUCACCGGAACAGGCUGCAAAUUUUUUAUUUUGGUUUCGCUUGAUCCACUUUAGAUGAAGAAAGCCAAGAAUGCGAUCUUGAACCAACGCUACAUAGCGCGCCGCAACGCGCGCGAGGUAUAAACCUAGUAAGGUAAUAUAGAGAAAGGUCAACAUAGGAGAUAAAGUCUUGAAAAAGAUUCUUUCCGGACGUGAGCCUCACCUAAGAGGGAAACUCCAUUU